UAGGGAAUCUUCGGCAAUGGGGGGAACCCUGACCGAGCAACGCCGCGUGAGUGAAGAAGGUUUUCGGAUCGUAAAGCUCUGUUGUUAAGGAAGAACGAGUGUGAGAAUGGAAAGUUCAUACUGUGACGGUACUUAACCAGAAAGGGCCGGCUAACUACGUGCCAGCAUCCGCGGUAAUACGUAGGUCCCGAGCGUUGUCCGGAUUUAUUGGGCGUAAAGCGAGCGCAGGCGGUUAGAUAAGUCUGAAGUUAAAGGCAGUGGCUCAACCAUUGUAGGCUUUGGAAACUGUUUAACUUGAGUGCAGAAGGGGAGAGUGGAAUUCCAUGUGUAGCGGUGAAAUGCGUAGAUAUAUGGAGGAACACCGGUGGCGAAAGCGGCUCUCUGGUCUGUAACUGACGCUGAGGCUCGAAAGCGUGGGGAGCGAACAGG
rnacentral:rRNA from 1 species